rnacentral:lncRNA from 1 species
UCUAGCUGGGUGACCUCUCUGAGCCUCAGUCUCCUCCUCUGACCAUGGGGACAACAAACUUCGCUUGCAAGGCCUGGAAGAAGAUCAGAAGUUGGACAGGAGAGGUCCGGCCGCGCGGACGUCACCUUAGCGCGCCACUGUCGGCUCCGGUGGGCUCGGGUGAGCUCGGGUGAACGCAGCGAGCGAGGGCAGAGGCCAGCAGAGGCGAGGAGUGGAUGCUGCAGGGCCGCAGGCCGGGCAGAGAAACGCAUACCGGGUCGCUCCCUGCUUCGCCGCCGCCUCCUGGCAGGGCCAGCGAAGCCAGUGCUCCAGCGCCCCCGUAACACCUCAAAGCGCACGGAGUCCGUGUUGGGGAACUUGGCGGCAGAGUGACUGGGACCUAGGACCUGCGGUGGGGCCGCCGCCGCCUCCGCGGGGCCGAGCGCCUGGACCUCGCCCUGAGACCGAGGAGGUUGUUUUGUUUUGUUUGAGACAGAAUCUCACUCUGUCGCCCAGGCUGGAUUGCAAUGGUGCGAUCUCGGCUCACUGCAACCUCUGCCUCUCCGGUUCAAGCCAUUCUCCUGCUUCAGCCUCCCGAGUAGCUGGGAUUACAGGCGCCUGCCACCACACCCAGCUAAUUUUUGUAUUUUUAGUAGAGACGGGGUUUCAUCAUGUUGGCCAGGAUGGUCUCGAACUCUUGAUCUCAAGUGAUCCGCCCACCUCGGCCUCCCAAAGUGCUGGGAUUAUGGGUGUGAGCCACCAUGCCUGGCCAGACCUGGGGUUUGGACCCAUUAAAGAGCUUCCUU